rnacentral:rRNA from 1 species
UACGUAGGGUGCAAGCGUUAAUCGGAAUUACUGGGCGUAAAGCGUGCGCAGGCGGCUUUGCAAGACAGAUGUGAAAUCCCCGGGCUUAACCUGGGAACUGCAUUUGUGACUGCAUGGCUGGAGUGCGGCAGAGGGGGAUGGAAUUCCGCGUGUAGCAGUGAAGUGCGUAGAUAUGCGGAGGAACACCGAUGGCGAAGGCAAUCCCCUGGGCCUGCACUGACGCUCAUGCACGAAAGCGUGGGGAGCAAACAGG